AAAUCUAUACAAUACGAGACGCAAGAGACUUAUUAUAACGUAAAAAUAUUGAAAUUAUUAAAAUAGAAUUUAUAACUUGCAGUGAUUUUGUCAUCAUUGUGUUUAAUACUUUAGAGUGGUCAAAAAUACAUAGUUCAGAAUAAUAACGAUCUGUAAUUUAUUUUCUGUUACCCAAUAAAUUUAAGUAAUCUGUGACGGAUAAAAGUUACUCUGUAAAAAAAAAUAACCUUUUAUCUUUUAUUGUUUGUGGUGCAAUGCUGCAUUUAAAAGUUUUCCCAACAAACAAUUCAAACUUUCUUUUAGCCCUAACAUUAAAAAGAAAUGGCUAUAUGUGAAAACCGCCAUAUUGAGUAAAUAUUUACUUACUAAUAGCAAAGGCAAACAACAAAACUUAAUGUUUUUUCGAGACAAACAUAAAAGAACAGAAAUCUACCUGCCUGAUAUCUAACAUGAAGAGAUGAAGCAAAUUCCCUAACAACAUCUAAUAUCCUGGUCUUUUCGGUACCAAAUUGUAACGUUUCGCCCUACCUCCUGCCUACUUAACUCCUACCCAAUGGAUUUAUUAGAAGAUAUUUGAAACUACAACUUACUAUUAACACUGGAUAUCUACACUGGUUAUCUACACUGGAUUCUACACUGGAUUCUUCCCACAAUGAAUCAAUACUUUUAUCAAAGAUCUUCGAAAACCGCCAGAAGGAAGCUCAAGAUUCAACUGAAAGUCUAGAAGGGAAAACAACCUAACAAAUAAACUGGAGACUUAAAAGUGAAACAAAUACUACUUUAGUUUGGCCAUGAAACAUCCAGGGAACCCCUACAUUGUGUAGUGUAACCCAUUAAACGAAAGCUAAUGAAUUUAAUAAAACUAUGAACGUGAAUUGAAUACAACCUUCCUAACUA